UACGUAGGCAGCAAGCGUUGUUCGGAAUUACUGGGCGUAAAGAGUGUGUAGGCGGUGCUCUAAGUUCGUUGUGAAAUCUCCCGGCUUAACUGGGAGGGUGCGGCGGAAACUGGAGUGCUUGAGCGCGGGAGAGGAAAGCGGAAUUCCUGGUGUAGCGGUGAAAUGCGUAGAGAUCGGGAGGAAGGCCGGUGGCGAAGGCGGCGCUCUGGAACGUACCUGACGCUGAGACGACGAAAGCGUGGGGAGCAACAGG
rnacentral:rRNA from 1 species